UACGAAGGGGGCGAGCGUUGUUCGGAUUUACUGGGCGUAAAGGGCGUGUAGGCGGCCCGUCAAGUCGAGUGUGAAAGCCCCGGGCUCAACCUGGGAGGUGCGCUCGAGACUGGCGGGCUGGAGUUCGGGAGAGGAGCGUGGAAUUCCCAGUGUAGAGGUGAAAUUCGUAGAUAUUGGGAAGAACACCGGUGGCGAAGGCGGCGCUCUGGACCGAGACUGACGCUGAGGCGCGAAAGCGUGGGGAGCAAACAGG
rnacentral:rRNA from 1 species